GUCCACGCCCUAAACGAUGUCAACUGGUUGUUGGACGGCUUGCUGUUCAGUAACGAAGCUAACGCGUGAAGUUGACCGCCUGGGAGUACGGCCGCAAGGUUGAACUCAAGGAAUUGACGGGACCCGCACAAGCGGUGGAUGAUGUGGUUUAAUUCGAUGCAACGCGAAACCUUACCUACCCUUGACAUGUCAAGAAUUUUUGCAGAGAUGUGAAAGUGCUCGAAAGAGAACUUGAACACAGGUGCUGCAUGGCCGUCGU
rnacentral:rRNA from 1 species